rnacentral:rRNA from 1 species
AACGAACGCUGGCGGCAUGCCUAACACAUGCAAGUCGAACGAGACCUUCGGGUCUAGUGGCGCACGGGUGCGUAACGCGUGGGAACCUGCCCUUAGGUUCGGAAUAACUCCCCGAAAGGGGUGCUAAUACCGGAUAAUGUCUUCGGACCAAAGAUUUAUCGCCUUUGGAUGGGCCCGCGUUGGAUUAGCUAGUUGGUAGGUUAAAAGCCUACCAAGGCGACGAUCCAUAGCUGGUCUGAGAGGAUGAUCAGCCACACUGGGACUGAGACACGGCCCAGACUCCUACGGGAGGCAGCAGUGGGGAAUAUUGGACAAUGGGCGAAAGCCUGAUCCAGCAAUGCCGCGUGAGUGAUGAAGGCCUUAGGGUUGUAAAGCUCUUUUAACCGGGAUGAUAAUGACAGUACCGGGAGAAUAAGCUCCGGCUAACUCCGUG